rnacentral:rRNA from 1 species
AGCGAACGCUGGCGGCAUGCCUAACACAUGCAAGUCGAACGAGACCUUCGGGUCUAGUGGCGCACGGGUGCGUAACGCGUGGGAACCUGCCCUUAGGUUCGGAAUAACUCCCCGAAAGGGGUGCUAAUACCGGAUAAUGUCUUCGGACCAAAGAUUUAUCGCCUUUGGAUGGGCCCGCGUUGGAUUAGCUAGUUGGUAGGGUAAAAGCCUACCAAGGCGACGAUCCAUAGCUGGUCUGAGAGGAUGAUCAGCCACACUGGGACUGAGACACGGCCCAGACUCCUACGGGAGGCAGCAGUGGGGAAUAUUGGACAAUGGGCGAAAGCAUGAUCCAGCAAUGCCGCGUGAGUGAUGAAGGCCUUAGGGUUGUAAAGCUCUUUUACCCGGGAUGAUAAUGACAGUACCGGGAGAAUAGGCUCCGGCUAACUCCGUG